rnacentral:rRNA from 1 species
AAAUUGAAGAGUUUGAUCAUGGCUCAGAUUGAACGCUGGCGGCAGGCCUAACACAUGCAAGUCGAACGGUAACAGGAAGAAGCUUGCUUCUUUGCUGACGAGUGGCGGACGGGUGAGUAAUGUCUGGGAAACUGCCUGAUGGAGGGGGAUAACUACUGGAAACGGUAGCUAAUACCGCAUAACGUCGCAAGACCAAAGAGGGGGACCUUCGGGCCUCUUGCCAUCGGAUGUGCCCAGAUGGGAUUAGCUAGUAGGUGGGG